rnacentral:rRNA from 1 species
UACGUAGGCGGAAAAUUAAGUCAGUAGUGAAAUCCUGCAGCUUAACUGUAGAACUGUUAUUGAUACUGGUUUUCUUGAAUUUAGUUGAGGUAAGCGGAAUGUGUAAUGUAGCGGUGAAAUGCUUAGAUAUUACACAGAACACCGAUUGCGAAGGCAGCUUACUAAGCUAUGAUUGACGCUGAGGUACGAAAGCGUGGGGAGCGAACAGGAUUAGAUACCCUGGUAGUCC